GGGAAGUUGGGGAGGUACAUGAAGCAUAAUCAGAGUUACCAGUGUUCGGUGAACCACCGAACCAGUGUUUGCUUUCAUACGACCGCGUGUCAGAUCAUCUACUCUUCCACCAGUAAAUCUAUUUUGCUGAGGGAUACACAAAAGAAGCACUGAAAAACUAUACAUAAGAUUUUCUUUAGGUAAUUUUUUAUUAAUAUUUCAAUGUUGGUAGAAUACUGCUACAUACCCAGAAUUCAGGAUUUUCUACUAUAUUCUAUUCUAGUACAAAAUGAGAUUUUUUCCCCUCAAAAUCAGUUCACAAUAACUUCUAAUACAUCUGUUAUGAAAAAUGCUUAAUUCUUCAUAUAACUAUGUGUCUUAUAUAUAGGGUGAUCGUACAAUUUAUUAUACAAAAUGGGACAUACCUGAGAGUGAAAGGAAGCACUAUUAAAAAUUAAGGUGGGACUACAGGCAUGAAACCAGAACUGUCUUAGGCCAACUAGGACAUAUGCUUAUCAUCUUUAUAUACCCGGUGACCUCCUAUGUCAGCAAAUAAAGAAUAUAUACUAAUAUCAAUAGAUCACCAUGCUGUACUAUUGAGUGAGAAACCGUAGUAGCAGAAGGAACUGUGAGGUGGGAGACAGUAGUAUGGGGAAAGACAUGAACACCACAGCCCUGUUUUCUAUACAAAUAUAUACAUAUAUGAAAUUUGGGGACAUUAGUAAAAGGGGUCUUUGGCCUUAUCCGUAAUAUUUUAACAUUAUAUAAGAAAAAUACAUCUAUGCAUUAUUUGUAUAGUUACUUUUAAAUCUAAGUUACACAGAAGCACUCUGAAUGUGUAGAAAUAAAAGCUUGAUGAUUUUGGGUUGGCUUUCUAGCCCCACAAUUUAAAACCAACACACACCGCUAUGGGUGUUUAUAGACAUCAAAAUUUAGAGCAGAGAGGCAUAGAUGCCUACUUGUUCUCUAGCAUGGUGUAAUUGACUCUGCAAUCUCAAGAAAAGAAAAACUCAUUUUCAGUUUAGAGCUCAAAACGUGACUGAAUUGAGUAAUUGAAAACCAUGGUAUCAAGCCUGUAAUCCCAGCACUUUGGGAGGCCGAGGUGGGUGGAUCACCUGAGCUCAGGAGUUCGAUACCAUCACGGCUGACAUGGUGAAACCCCAUCUCUACUAAAAAUACAAAAAUUAGCUGAGCGUGGUGGCGGGCACCUGUAAUCCCACCUACUUGGGAGGCUGAGGCAGGAGAAUUACUCGAACCUGGGAGGCGGAGGUUGCAGUGAGCCAAGAUUGUGCCACUGCACUCCAGCCUGGGCCACAAGACCAAAACUCCGUCUGAAACAGACAAACAAACAAAAAAAACAUGGUAGGCUGGGCACGGUGGCUCAUUCCUGUAAUCUCACCACUUUGGGAGACUGAGGAAGGAGGAUCACCUAAGGCCAGGAGUUUGAGACCAGCCUGGGCAAAACGGUGAGACCCUGUCUCUACAAAAGACGACAGAAAAAUUAGCUAGGUGUGCUGGUGCACCUGUGGUUCUAGCUACUUAGGAGGAUCACCUGAGCCCAGGAGGGCACUGCAGCAGUGAGCUGUGUCCACAGUGCUACACUUCAGCCUGGUCGACAGAGUGACACCAUGUCUCAAAAGAAAAAAAGAAAAGCCACGGUAAAUAAACUAAUACCUGUUAUAUGGCAGGAAAUCAAUGAAACAUUUUCACUGAACCAUCUCUACCCGCAUAUGCAGUUGUUUUUUUCAAACUACAGUCUUAUGUUGCUAAUUAGUUACUGAACAUUCCAUUUGAACGUCUCAAACUCCACUAGCAUGUCUUGCAUCUCUUCCUGUAGACACCAGCUUCCCCUCCAAACCCUUCCAUCUUUCCCAGCAGAAACACUAUUAAUUAAGGAUCCAUGUGCAUAGUUCUUGUACAGGUUACAAAAGGCCUCUGUGCCAUUAAAUCCAUACAAGUUCCCCCAAGAGAUAAGCAGGGAAUGUUUUAUCUCCACUUUACAGAUGAGAGGCAUUUGCUCAAAGUCACAUUGCAAAUAAGAGAUGGCUCCAGGACAGGCAUAAGGAAGUGCAAGCAAAUGCAUGAGUCCCUUGAGCACUGAAGGGCUAUAAUCACCCACUACCAAAUAUUUCUUUUCCACUUGGGCCCAAACUUAAGGUAUUUGCUGUGCUCAGAGACACUUCCACUGUGAAGUGCUUUGUAAAAAGUUCACCCUUCUUUGGGAGAAUUUAAACAUCUAAGGGCACCUCUACAGGCUGGACUUUGCAUUUUCAUUACUUCGAAAGAUUUUUAUUAGGUCUGUGCUCCACGCCCAGAAUAGUGUAAGACUGCAGGGGAGGCAAAGAGCCAUCAGCAGCGAAUAAUACUUGGGCUCUGCUCUCAAGAUACUGAUUUAGAGGAGAGACUAGGACAUGUGCAAUGUGACCAAUAUCAGUAUUUGAUUAGGUACACAAACAAGUCUUCCUGGAGGAUGUCCUCUGGGCUAUUAAGUAUGGCUCUAACAUCCAUGCUCCUCACAAAAUACAUGGAAUUCCAGUAGAUUAACAGCACCCCCCGCCCACACACCUCAGCUCUACGUAAUACAUACUCACAUGACAAAAUAAUGGUUUGCUUCUGUAACUUAGUUUGUGUAGCAGAAGUCACUAUUUACAGUUACUCAUUUUUUGUAACAAAUAGUUUACUUUAAUUGCAAAUGAAGUUCGAGUAACACUUAGCCUUGAAUAAUGUCAUGCUAACGUGAUAAAACCACCUCCAACAAGGUAAGAGUUUGGGCCAGGCUCGGUGGCUCAUACCUGUAAUCCCAGCACUUUGGGAGGCCGAGGCAAGAGGAUUGCUUGGGGCAAGGAAUUCAAGACCAGCCCAGGUAACAUAGUGAAACACCGUCUCUACAGAAAAUAAAAGCUGGAUGUGGUGGCAUGCACCUGUAGUCCCAGUUACUUGGGAGGCUGAGGUAGGACAAUCAUUUGAGCCCAGGAGUUCGAGCCAACAGUGAGCCAUGACUGUGCCACUGUACUCUAGCCUGGGUGACAGACGAGACUCUAUCAAAAAAAAAAAAAAAAAAAUUUGGUCUUGGAUUCAAGUAAACCUGGCUCAAAUUUAAGUUUUGCCACUUCCUAGCUGGUGACGCUGGGUACCCUUGGGCAAGGUACUGCAUCUCCCUAAGCCUCAGUUUCCUCCCAUGUAAACUGGAGAUAAUAAAUUGAUCUGUUUCUUAAAGACAUUAAGAAAGCUAAAUAAGCCUAAGAAAUAAAGAAAGCCUCAGGUGGAUCACCUGAAGUCAGGAGUUUGAGACCAGCCUGGCCAACAUGGCGAAACCCCAAAUCACCGCUAAUUAAACAAAAAUUAGCCGGUUGUGGUGGUGGGCGCCUGUAAUCCUAUUGACUCAGGAGGCUGAGGCAGAAGAAUCGCUUGAACCCAGGAGGUGGAGGUUGCAGUGAGCUGAGAUCACGCCAUUGCACUCCAGCCUGGGCAACAAGAGCAAAACUCCAUCUCAAAAAAAAGAAAAAAAAAUUAGAAAGCCUUAUCCUGAGUAAACUCUCAACAAAUAGUAGCAAUUAACUAUUAACAAUGUUCAUCUUUGAGUAAUUUAGUUAACUAGGGUGACAGGUUAAUAUUGAUCAUUAGCUUCAUGUUGAACAUUCCCAGAAGCUAAAUCCCCUAUGAAAGGCACAGGACUAUAAAUCAGUGGAGUGGGGGUGUUGUAAUUGCCCAGCAAUGUGCAAAUAAUUCCCCUUAAAACCUGGGCAACAUUUCAGACUUAUUAUUAUCUAUUCAGGACACUAACUCCUAGUGACUGUUAAGAGCAAAAGACGACUCAUUCUUAUAACAUAUAUACAUAUGUUAAAAUAUAUAUAUGGGUAAGACAGUAUUUUACUCUUGGAUCUGAAAUAUGGCUCCACUGGGAGGCUAGAGCAAAAGAUAUGUAGAAUACUUGCCAAGAUUAAAAUCUUGCAUAUUAGUAAUGAAGAAUUUUUUAAUUACUUGCAUGCUUUAACCAGCUGUUAAAAAUAAACAUUGCGAAUUACUGCUGAUAAAUCCCCUGUUGGUUGAAAGACACUUGCCUGGAUCACUUUGCUACAUGCAAUUUCUUUGUAGUGAACUAGAUUUGGCCUCGGUCAUAAUUACUUGAGUUCAAUGAACUCAAGUAAUUAUGAACGCAACUUGAGUUCAAUGAGUUCCUGGUGUGCCCAGGUUCUAAAAUACAGAAGGGUAACAUGGUAUGAAUUUGCACAACUUAGAGAUACCAGGGACUGGUUGACUCUAUUUCUGGUUUGAUUUUCAAUAGCAAAAGGCUGUUUUACACUAAAAGAUCAGGUAACCAGGCACAACAAGAUGUGUUGCCAAAGAAUCCCUUUGGCUCAAGAAAAAGAGGCUCUAGGUUGGCUGGAAAAGUCAGCACUGGGACGUAGCAGUGCUUGUCUGUGUCAACAAAGAACUGGGCCCUGCAUAAAGGAGCAGGUGGGGGGUCACUCGAAUCCAAGGCCCUUUGGCGAGUCCCAUCUCCCCCUUCAUUCAUUCAGCAAAGUUGUACUGAGCACCUGCUGUAGCAAAGCACUGCAAAGGGAAGAGCCAAGCAGAAGUCAGGAGCCUCUCAGCAUCUUGCAAGGGAGCCAGUGUUUAGUAUCUGGCACCAGUGCUCACCUCCUUGUUGAAAGAUAAGAAACACCUAGAGUGCAGAUUACCAACCAACACAGACUUUCUCAAUCAGAAGCAUCAGGGAAGAGUCUGGAGUCUGUAUAUCGAGGUAAAAUAGAUGUAAGGAGUUCCUGAAAUCAUUGGUUCUGAUCAUUCCCCUGCCCCCGUGCUUUUCUGGUUGUUACAGUGAAAGGACCGAUUCCAGAGCUUCCUACUCUGCCGUUUUACAUGAUGUCACCCUUCUGGAGUCUGCAUUUUUAAUUUAGGCCUUGAAUGUUCUUAUUGCCUCAGGCUGGGAGUCUCAGGUGUAAAAGAAGCAAUAACUGGGGAAUCAGCUGUAAUUUCAGAUAAGGGACCACCUGGCUGAUAAGUGCAUUCACCCCGUCAACAAGCAUUUAUUGGGCAUAUGAAGGGUACAGAAGUAGAAAAAACAGACAUGGUUCCUGCUCUCAUGGGGCGUUUAUGUUCUGGGGAGCAAAUCACUUCAUCAAACAAUUUCCAUAUAAAACAAGAGUUUGAACUACUCUGCUUAAAGGUAUGUUGGUGCCAAAUAUACAUGAUUUGAAUAAACGUAAUUCAAAUAAACAUGAUUCUAGAAAAGGAAAUCAAUCUCAUUUUUUAAGAAAAACUCCAGCAAAUGUUAAAUUACCCAGGGACCAAAAGACGACCCCCGUUUGAAAGAAAGAGGGCACAGAGGUGAGUGGAGAGGCUGCCUUUGGAAACCACGGGGUAGGAUCACCUGUACCCAGGAGUGGACUGUGGACAUGGCACACCAGGACAUGCUGCGAUUCCUGGAGAAAAAUCGAACUUAAAGGACCUUAAGCAGAAAAGAAAGUGAACUGAAGACUCACGUGAGAGGACGAUCUGGAAUGAUGAGCGUCCCGCAGGCAGCGUUACGGAACCCCAGUGUAGUCACCAGGACCUCCUCCCUCUCCAUUUUUUGGCUCUUCUUAACACAUAGCUGGACCCAGCAGCCCAAACAUCAUCAGCACUCGGUCCUCUCCUUCAGGUAGGAGGACCCUGAAGAGGAGCUGCACCAAGCGCCUGUCCUCCCCAGAGAAGCAAUCCUAGCUGAAAGGGUUUCUCUAAACCUGCUCUGGGAGAAAGGCUGAAAGGAUGACGCUGACUGGCCCAUCGUGGCCCAAUGACUGCGGCCGAAGGAUGGAAGUCCUGUGAGCGGUCAGGCCUGCAUGUGGAGGUCAGCCCCACGAAAGGGCUGGGAGGGACUUUUUGUCACCAAAAAGGAGCAUGGGGUAUCAUUCUCUAAAGUGAGAUAUGCUGGUGAACAGCACACAACCUGGUGUGCCAUCUCUAAGCAAGAGAUGCUGGUGAAGAUUUUAAUAACAUUGCUGGUGCUGGCUUCCAAGGCCAGCCAGCAGGGGCACCAGUGGCCCUAUAAUGAUGUCUAAUUGGGUCAGAGCUGGGGCGUGGCAUUCUGCAGGCAACUUCUACCCUUUGUAAGGCUGGGCGAACCGGAGAUUUGGAAAGCAAUACAAGGUAGAAGCAGCCCCAACAAUCUACGACAAAGCAACACUUGCCUCUUUUAUACACCAUGUUAGAUGGUUGAGGAAAAUAAAACAUUUUCUUGAAAAGAAUCCCUAGGCCUAUUCCCUAGGUUUGAGAAACACCACAGCAUAGGUAAUUUGGUGCCAGAAUGAGUUAUUUGACCCUCCACUAACUGUUACUGCUUGUAAUGUGGCACUGUCUGCCCCUGUCACCAGAAACGGCACUGAGGACAUCCAAGAAGUAUUUCCAACAGGCUUUCCAGACCGCUCUUCCCUUUUUGCAGGUGGGAGCAGUUUGGGCAUUACCUUUAGGUUCCAAUACAGGGCUCCUUGUUGCUCACACAUCCUUCCUUCAUUGCGACCCUCCAUCAAUCAUAUGGAUAACCUCCCACACACUCCUCAGAAGCCAUGGGUGAGGUAGCAGUGCUGGGUGGCUUCUGCCCAGACCUCUGAGAGCAUCCCCAAGUGCACAAGUGUGAGCAUAAUUUUAUUGUUAGGCAGGGUUGAGUGAUUCAAUCUAAGGUUGAGGCAAGGUGAGGGCAGCUGGGAACCCUAGAACUAAUAGAAUUUCUUAACUGCAGCGUCUCCUGACCAUAGAAAGGAAGGGGAGCUCCCUUUCAGGAAAUAGACUAAGUCUUUUAAAGUGGUGAGUUUUCAGCUGAGAUGUGGAGGGAGCACAAAUCACUUGGCCCACAUUCCUUCCCCAUUCCCUGACCUCCUUAUAGCAUUAAUACUCCACCAGAUCAUAUAGACAAUGACUUCCCUUACUCACUAGACCUCAUCUAAUCUUGACUUAGUUACGACAGUUCUAGUGUAGGUUGGCUAUUUUCCCCAGUCUCCAAAAGAUUAGAAACAGUGAGUUAUCUGUGUGCUAGAAAAGAGUGUUCAUCCAUAGCAGAUGGGAAAACAGCAUUCAUUGGACAAAUACUUAUUGAACUCCUGCACUGUGCCGGGCAUUAGGAGUACAGCUGUAAGCAAGACAAAGUUCCCACCCUCAUAGAGCUAACAGGCAUUAAACAAAUAACCGUACAAAUGUUUACAGUUAUGAGCAAUGCUAUAAAAGAAAGGCAGGAAGCUAUGACAGGCCUGUAGCAUCAUUUGUAGCAGGAGCACCAAUCUUAAAUUGCUGGGAUCAGUGAAGGCCUCUAGAAAGAGACUUAACAAGAGACACGAAAUAAACAUUAUUCAGGCCAAAAGGAGGAGCAGGGAGCCUGAGAAGCUUGGAGCCCAGGAACCUAAAAAAGGUCAGUGUAAUUGGGGCAGAGAAGGCAGAAUAAUGUGAGAUGAAGUUAGAGAGACAGGCAAGGGGCCAGUUCAGACAAAGCCUCUUGAUCACGUUAAAGAUUCUCAACCUAAGGAAAGUUUUCAGCAGAGAAGUGACAAAAGAUUUGCACCUUUAUAGAGUCUCUUGGCUAGGCAUGUGGAGAAUGGACUGAAGGAAGGAGGGUGUGGAUAUGGGUGGAAGAGCAAAUGGGCUACUAGUGGAAUCUAUGGGAGAGAAGGUACACCUAUACCUUGGGCAGUUUUAAGGCAUGAUUACAAGUAAAAAUCAACUGGCUUAAACAUGGGUUAGGUGUGUCAAGUCUGGGAGAGGGCAGGGGUCAGGGAUUAUCCCAGAUCUCUGGGAUGGGAAAUUCAGCAGGUAGUGGAGAUAUUUACUAAGGAAGGGAGCCCUGUAAGAAUUUGGGGUGGGAGAGGAUUAUGAAUUCCACUUUGGCUACACUGGCUGACAGGUGCAUGUGGGACAUCCAUGUGGAGUUGCAGAAGUACUUAGAUAUGAGUCUGGAGCCCAGGAGUGGUCUGGAACUGUACAUCUAGUAGUACAUAUUUGGGCUGGGAGAUGAAAAUGGAGGCCAUGGGCUUAGGUGAGCUCACCUAGGGAGAAAGUAUGGUAUUAGAACAGGGCCAAGGAAUGAGCACUGAGAAAAUCUACCAUUUCAAGCUGGAGUGGGAGACAGUAACAGAAUUGGGGAGAUAUGGAAGCAGGAAUGUGGUAGCCAGGUUCCACGUUGGCCUCCAAUGACACCACCUCCUGGUAUUCAUAUCCUUGUGUAGUCUCCUCCCACACUGAAUACGGCUAACCUGUGUAAACACCCGAGACUGUGGAAACGACAGUGCAUGGCUGUGGCUGUGAGUAUAAAAUCUUUUUAAGAUCUCAGAAAGGCCUGAUGUGGCACCCCAGAGAGCUGUUCAGACAGUAAGGCUUCUAAGAAGCACAGCGUAUUGUCCCUUGGCAGUCUGAGCAGAAGCUCACAGUGGAGAACUUACCUCAGAGAUUUGUGGGUGUGGCUUUUGUGAGUGAACUGCAAUAAGACUCAGGUGACGCAUUCAAAAUAAUGUUCCCAGUACCACUGCCAGCUUGAAUGGAAAGGGAUAUAGUGCAAAAUGUUAACACAGCCGUUGGGCCCCUAAAAUCCUUCUGGCAAGAAGCAGGCAGAAAAAGCUUUGUAGCUGGAAAUGUGGGCAACGUUUCAUGGAAAAGGAAGGAUGACUCACAUCGGGCCAAGAGCUCAGCCUCCAAGAUCGCCUUUGACCAUCUCCCUCUUCUGGUAUAAUACGGAAAUACCUUUGUGUAUUUCCUUCCCCUACUGAAUAGGAUUGACCUGCAUAACCAAUAUACUGUGGAAUGACACUGUGACAUUUGAGGCCAAGUCAUAAAGGACAAUGCAGCUUCCACCCUGCUGUCUUGGAUGACCUGCUCUGGGGAUGAGGAUAUUCAAGCAGUUCUAGAACAAUACAUGGCAGGUGCUCAUAUGCGUUAACCCCAGGCUAAUGCAAAAGCUUCUUUAUGACAGAAAAGACUCCAAACACGUUUUCCUAAAAACAAUCACUACCAUCACCUCAUACUGAUGUUGCAAUUUAUAUUAGAAGUACUUUCACCACAUCUUGCUUU
rnacentral:lncRNA from 1 species